rnacentral:rRNA from 1 species
GGCGAACGGGUGAGUAACACGUGGGUAAUCUGCCCUGCACUCUGGGAUAAGCCUUGGAAACGGGGUCUAAUACCGGAUAUCACAACUUCAGGCAUCUGGGGUUGUUGAAAGUUCUGGCGGUGCAGGAUGAACCCGCGGCCUAUCAGCUUGUUGGUGGGGUAAUGGCCUACCAAGGCGACGACGGGUAGCCGGCCUGAGAGGGUGACCGGCCACACUGGGACUGAGACACGGCCCAGACUCCUACGGGAGGCAGCAGUGGGGAAUAUUGCACAAUGGGCGAAAGCCUGAUGCAGCGACGCCGCGUGAGGGAUGACGGCCUUCGGGUUGUAAACCUCUUUCGCCAGGGACGAAGCGCAAGUGACGGUACCUGGAUAAGAAGCACCGGCUAACUACGUGCCAGCAGCCGCGGUAAUACGUAGGGUGCGAGCGUUGUCCGGAAUUAUUGGGCGUAAAGAGCUCGUAGGCGGUUUGUCGCGUCGGCCGUGAAAUCUCCACGCUUAACGUGGAGCGUGCGGUCGAUACGGGCAGACUUGAGUUCGGUAGGGGAGACUGGAAUUCCUGGUGUAGCGGUGAAAUGCGCAGAUAUCAGGAGGAACACCGGUGGCGAAGGCGGGUCUCUGGGCCGAUACUGACGCUGAGGA